rnacentral:rRNA from 1 species
AAUCAACGCUGGCGGCGUGCCUAACACAUGCAAGUCGAACGCGAAAAUGGAGCAAUCCAUGAGUAGAGUGGCAAACGGGUGAGUAACACGUAGGUGACCUGCCUUCGAGUGGGGGAUAACGUCCCGAAAGGGACGCUAAUACCGCAUAAUAUGCUGUCUUUUAAGAGAGAGACAUCAAAGCCGGGGACCGCAAGGCCUGGCGCUUGAAGAGGGGCCCGCGCCUGAUUAGCUAGUUGGUGGGGUAAUGGCUCACCAAGGCAACGAUCGGUAACUGGUCUGAGAGGAUGAUCAGUCACACUGGAACUGAGACACGGUCCAGACUCCUACGGGAGGCAGCAGUGGGGAAUAUUGGACAAUGGGGGCAACCCUGAUCCAGCCAUGCCGCGUGUGUGAAGAAGGCCUCGG